AGAGUUUGAUCAUGGCUCAGGACGAACGCUGGCGGCGUGCCUAAUACAUGCAAGUCGAGCGGACCAAUCCUUCGGGAGCGGUUAGCGGCGGACGGGUGAGUAACACGUAGGCAACCUGCCUGUAAGACUGGGAUAACUACCGGAAACGGUAGCUAAGACCGGAUAGCUGGUUUCUCUGCAUGGAGGAAUCAUGAAAAGCG
rnacentral:rRNA from 1 species